AAAUGUUCUUUCCAAUCCCACGGGAGGAAGAGACGUUCUAAAGAGAGAAUUGAAUUCAUGGUUGGCCAGGAGACAGUGAAAGAGGACCCAGGAGAAAUUGCUGGAAACGCUCUAUGAAAUCAUCUCUAAGCAAACAGUGCUCUCUCUGCUGCACCUGCUCUCCAUGCCUCUCCUGCAAAAUCAACAACAGGUGUUUGCUGCUCAUGCGAUUCCAACCACCAAAAAUAGGCAUGACAAGAAUGACGGGAUAGGCAGCGUCCCGAUUCCAGUCAUUCCUGAAGCCCCUUCGCAUGUCCACACACCUGUGCACUGCCGGGUCUGUUGCUUGGCUAGCAUUUUUCUUAAAAUCACUUCACUUUAAAACAGUUUUUAUUAAAGUAUGGUAUGCAUACAGAAAAGUAUGGCUGAAGUGUAUGGCUUAAAGGAUUUUCAUGAAACGAUCACACCUGUGUGACCAGGA
rnacentral:lncRNA from 1 species